UACCCGCUGAACUUAAGCAUAUCAAUAAGCGGAGGAAAAGAAACCAACAGGGAUUGCCUUAGUAACGGCGAGUGAAGCGGCAAAAGCUCAGAUUUUAAAUCUAGUGUCCUUUGGACAUUCGAGUUGUAAUCUGUAGAGAGGUGUUCGAGUAGUGUCUUGGCUCAAGUUCCUUGGAACAGGAUGUCAUGGAGGGUGAGAAUCCCGUGAAUGGCCUUGAAUCUUUUACUGCUCAUUGUGAACCUUCUUCAACGAGUCGAGUUGUUUGGGAAUGCAGCUCUAAAUGGGUGGUAAAUUUCAUCUAAAGCUAAAUACUGGCAGGAGACCGAUAGCGCACAAGUAGAGUGAUCGAAAGAUGAAAAGAACUUUGGAAAGAGAGUUAAAUAGUACGUGAAAUUGUUGAAAGGGAAGCACUUGCUCCCAGACUUGCCUGUAGCUGAUCAACCUUCAUUCUUUGUGGGUGCACUCGGUUAUUUUUUUUUGGGCAGGCCAGCAUCAGUUUAGACAGAGGGAAAAGGCCUAGGGGAAUGUGAUUCUUCUUUUUGGAGAGUGUUAUAGCCUCUGGUGUGUAAUAUCUCUAGUCCUGGACUGAGGACCGCGCUUUUUUUUUUAAAAGUGAGGAUGCUGGCAUAAUGGUCGUAAGUGACCCGUCUUGAAACACGGACCAAGGAGUCUAACAGCUGUGCGAGUGUUUGGGUGUUAAAAACCCUUGCGCGGAAUGAAAGUGAAUGGAGGUGGGAACUUUUUUUUACAGAGUGCACCAUCGACCGAUCCUGAAGUCUUCUGAUGGAUUUGAGUAGGAGCAUAGCUGUUGGGACCCGAAAGAUGGUGAACUAUGCCUGAAUAGGGUGAAGCCAGAGGAAACUCUGGUGGAGGCUCGCAGCGGUUCUGACGUGCAAAUCGAUCGUCAAAUUUGGGUAUA
rnacentral:rRNA from 2 species